UACACCUGAUUCUUAUCCUGUAAAUGUACUACAUUUAUCUACCAAAAUGUCGGCUUUUAAAAUAAAUAAACCCCUUUAGUAGAAACGUUAUUUCCAGUAGGCUACAACGCUGGCCUGGUCCCCUCCCCUAUAGGACAUAAUAUGUCUCUCUGGGACAGGGCUCUGACAGGAGCAGCUCUCAGGUCAGUUUCCAUCAAUGACUGCUUCAGGAACAUCUCGGGCACAACUGGUUUUCGAGUUGAGAGAACUGUGAAGCUGUUGCUGUCGCUGUUUACGGGUCAGGUACACGCCAAAAAAUAUCCGGCAAAACAGAAGCUUCUGAAGGUCUCUACUGCCCCCUGCUGGGGGACCUGCAAAACACAUGUUCUGAAGAAAUGAUGCUACUGCAACGUCAUGAACAGUGCACAAAUAUCCUGCCUUCCUCCCAGCUCUUGUGAAAAGCUCAUUCCCCUCACAUUUCCUCAUGAGCCCCACAAUAUAGUAUAUUUCACCUCCCUCUCACUUGUCCUCUGCCAGAUGUGUUUUGCCAAGCUUGCCUGUGUUUCAGUUUGUAUUCGCAGUCAUCUGUUCUGCCCGGUUUGGACGUUGCCUGCCUGAUUUUGGACGUUGAUUUUCCUGCCUGCCCCAAUUAUUAAAUUUAUUUUCCUGACUGCUGGAUUUCCUGGUUUUGACCCUGCCUGUUGCUGCCUUGAUUAAACUGAAUUUUGGAACAUUG